rnacentral:lncRNA from 1 species
CUUGUUACUCUCAGUCAUAGAAUUUCAUAAUAUUUUAGCAAGUGCUGAGAACUAUGUAUCUAGAUCACAGCGGAAGCCUUCAUGAGUGCAUAUGUACCGUACUUACCUUUUUUUUUUUUCUGGUUAGAAGGAAGGCUUUACUUUUACAGCCAAGUUUUUGUUGUGAGAGAAAUCAAAGGAUUCCAACAGUUUUAAUAAUCUACAGAAGGAUUCUUUUCCAGGCAUCCAACGCACUGGAGGAGCUUUGCUUUAUGAUUAUGGGAAUGCUACCAAAGCCUCAGGAACAAGAUGAAAAAGAUAAUACUAAAAGGUUCUUAUUUCAUUAUUCGAAGACACAGAAGUUGGGCAAGUCAAAUGUUGUGUCGUCAGUUGUGCAUCCGUUGCUGCAGCUCGUUCCUCACCUGCAUGAGAGAAGAAUGAAGAGAUUCAGAGUGGACGAAGAAUUCCAAAGUCCCUUUGCAAGUCAAAGUCGAGGAUAUUUUUUAUUCAGGCCACGGAAUGGAAGAAGGUCAGCAGGGUUCAUUUAAAAUGGAUGCCAGCUAAUUUUCCACAGAGCAAUGCUAUGGAAUACAAAAUGUACUGACAUUUUGUUUUCUUCUGAAAAAAAUCCUUGCUAAAUGUACUCUGUUGAAAAUCCCUGUGUUGUCAAUGUUCUCAGUUGUAACAAUGUUGUAAAUGUUCAAUUUGUUGAAAAUUAAAAAAUCU